CAUCUCAAAAGCCAGGACGGUCAGUAGCUUCAUAUGUGUUCUUCGUUGAUAAGUACACUUUGUUGUAUUGAAAAUGAUAUUCGAAGCACCAUGUGAAGCUGCUCUCUGACCUUGGAUGAAUUUCCGUAG